AGUGAACGCUGGCGGUAGGCCUAACACAUGCAAGUCGAACGGCAGCACAGUAAGAGCUUGCUCUUACGGGUGGCGAGUGGCGGACGGGUGAGGAAUACAUCGGAAUCUACUUUUUCGUGGGGGAUAACGUAGGGAAACUUACGCUAAUACCGCAUACGACCUACGGGUGAAAGCAGGGGAUCUUCGGACCUUGCGCGAUUGAAUGAGCCGAUGUCGGAUUAGCUAGUUGGCGGGGUAAAGGCCCACCAAGGCGACGAUCCGUAGCUGGUCUGAGAGGAUGAUCAGCCACACUGGAACUGAGACACGGUCCAGACUCCUACGGGAGGCAGCAGUGGGGAAUAUUGGACAAAGGGCGUAAGCCUGAUCCAGCCAUACCGCGUGGGUGAAGAAGGCCUUCGGGUUGUAAAGCCCUUUUGUUGGGAAAGAAAAGCAGCAGGUUAAUACCCCGCUGUUCUGACGGUACCCAAAGAAUAAGCACCGGCUAACUUCGUG
rnacentral:rRNA from 1 species